UACGAAGGGUGCAAGCGUUAAUCGGAAUUACUGGGCGUAAAGCGUGCGUAGGCGGUUUGUUAAGUCUGUUGUGAAAUCCCCGGGCUCAACCUGGGAAUGGCAAUGGAUACUGGCAAGCUAGAGUGUGUCAGAGGAUGGUGGAAUUCCCGGUGUAGCGGUGAAAUGCGUAGAGAUCGGGAGGAACAUCAGUGGCGAAGGCGGCCAUCUGGGACAACACUGACGCUGAGGCACGAAAGCGUGGGGAGCAAACAGG
rnacentral:rRNA from 1 species